ensembl:lncRNA
GUGGUGUUGGAGAAGACUCUUGAGAGUCCCUUGGACUGCAAGGAGAUCCAACCAGUCCAUCCUAAAGGAGAUCAGCCCUGGGUGUUCUUUGGAAGGACUGAUGCUAAAGCUGAAACUCCAAUACUUUGGCCACCUCAUGUGAAGAGCUGACUCAUUGGAAAAGGCUCUGAUGCUGGGAGGGAUUGGGGGCAGGAGGAAAAGGGGACGACAGAGGAUGAGAUGGCUGGAUGGCAUCACUGACUCGAUAGACAUGAGUUUGAGUGAACGCCGGGAGUUGGUGAUGGACAGAGAGGCCUGGCAUGCUGCAAUUCAUGGGGUCACAAAGAGUCAGAUACAACUGAGCAACUGAACUGAACAAUAAAAAUAAUAGGAUGUCACACAGAAUAAUAACAAUAUUUGUGACAUUUUUGCUUAUCUUUGUUAAUUUCCAUUAGAUGUAUAGGAAAAUGUCAGGAUCUUUUUUCAUUAUAUAUACAUAUAUUUUAAAAAUUUUUAUUCAUUCUUUGGCCAUGUCGAGUGGCAUGUGGGAUCUUAGUUCCUCAAUGAGGGAUUGACCCUGUACCCCCUGCAGGGGGAGCUCAGUCUUAACCCCUGGACCACCAGGGAAGUCCCCUCUCUAUAUUUCAAAGGAAAUCCUUGUGAGUUAAUUAUGCUUUGCCCCCAUGCUAUACAUACUGAGGCACACUGCCCUUGCAUUCUUGCUUCUUGGUUUAAAUACCAUCCUGGGUUUUUUUAACUCAGAAUUGUGAGCUGUUAGCUGCAGGACUGCUCAUAGGUCCCCCAGCUGCAGUAUCACCUGGGGAAAUGAGUAACUUGGAUGUUUGGACAGAAAACACGCAGUUGUCCUCUUGCCAGGGUCAGAGAGUCCUCUCUGCUUGAGAUCUUUGAGCCAAAGCUCAUGCAUCUCUGCUUCCCUCUUCUUGGAUCUCACCCACGUUCAAGGCCAAGGUCGGUCUCCCCCUCUGUUUUCUUCCACUCCUCCCUGGCCAUCUGCUUUCCAUCUCUAACUUCCAUAUCUUUCUUAGAACUCCUUCAGCUAAAAGUUCGGGAAUCAAAGGAAGAGCUGGAGGAGGCCAGGCAGCACUGGGACCCCAGAGAAGGCAGGUGUGACACACCCCAGCACCUGGCGCUUAACUAGAGCUCAGCAGUAAACAAUGAAUGCAGACCUGGAGGUGGGGCGGCUUAGGAUCCUGGAGAUAAGCGGGCCUACAGCUUUGACAGGUGAGCAGUGUUUCUUGGAGAAGGUGUGGGUGUCAGACGCUGAGAGUGGAUGAUCUCCCAUGCCACCUUUUCCAGUCUUUUUGUCCCCUUCCAGUCUCCAUCUGAUUCCCAUCCUCUGCUUUUCUUAGACUCCUCAUUCAAACCUGCCUUCUCACUUCUUGAUUUUAUAAUGCCUAUCACAUAGAUUAGAAUACGCCAACGCUUUAUUUGCAGUUGAGAAAGCAGCUAGCUGUUCACCUGCUUUCUAAUACACAGAAAUAGUUUCUUUCUGUUCUUUCUGGCUCUUUCGGAGCCUAGUACAGUUACUAGUUAGAUGGAUUUGCCUUAAAAAAAAAAAAAACCUUAUAAAAUGAUACAACAUAAUGAUAUUAUUCUUUUGUUAAGCAGCUCUCAACACCAAAGACAGGAGAAAGAAUCUGCCUUUCUCACUUCCACAGAAACAUCCCAUGGACAGGCCUCCAUGCCCUGGCAAGGUCACAGACCCACUCCUGCACUCAGCUCUAGGGGAGAAGAUGGAUGCUAUGACUGGUCACUCUCUUUAUGCACCUCCUUACCCUCAUCUUCCUAUGACCCAAGCUCCAACAAGCAACAAUAGAAAAAUGGAAAUCCACCAUCACUUCCCUACUAGAGAUCUUUCAGUCACUUCCUAUUCCACUUAGAAGAGAAUCCCAGAGUUUAGCCCUGGCCUAGAUUACCACAGGAUUUGGCCUCU